UCUCUGGUGGCUUAAGUGGUUAGAGCGUCUGCCUCGGAUGCGGAAGUUCGUGGGUUCGAACCGAGGCCAAGUGAU